rnacentral:lncRNA from 1 species
UUCUUUGAGUGUUUCAAGAAUAACAUCCAGGUCAUCGAUUGCUCCUUUGAACGUAGUUCCUAUAGUUAAAAGAACCAUCAAAGGAAAAGUCAUAAGAUGGCUAAAUUCAUAAAAGAGAUAAAUAAAAAGGAUAGAGGUUGGAGUAUAGGUAUAUACCAAUUGUGACAUUUAUAAUAGCUGGUUUGUCCUUAUUUUGAAGUAACUUUGCUCUUAAAUCUGAAUAAUCCAUCUCCCCAUUCACUGAUGUGUUGAUUGUUUCUGAAUCCAUUCUAUACAUUCUUGCAGCUUUGAAGACUGAGUAGUGAGAGUCUUUUGAUGCAUAUAAUAUUCCUUCAGGAAGUAACUCUCUCCUGCAAAAUUAUACCAAAAAAUUUAAGAACACCAAAAACAUAAAUAGAUGUUAUUAUAUUAUAUGAACUUGUGUGUGAAUAUAUGAACUUACCCUAACAAAAUACCAUGGAGAUUGCCUUCGGUGCCACCAUUGGUAACAUAUCCCCAAUAUUGAUCCUUUUCAAUUUCCCAUAGUUUUGCAAACCAAUCCAAAACAGCCACUUCAAAGUCUUUUGAAUGGAAAUCGACAGUGUUUUGUAGGAAAGGAUCACCACAAUUGUUUAGGUGAAACUGCAAAAGUGGUGCUAAAGAUGCAUAGUGAUCAUAACAUAUGUUGACUGGAUAACCUAAAUGAUAAUUGACUCGUUGAGUAAGUGUGUCCAAAUAAUUGACCAAGAUAGUGUCCAAAGAAGGACCAUUAUUGUUCAAAGAAGGUUCCAUGACUUCAAGUUGUAAGUUUUUCCUUGGCCCUGCGCCUGAUUGUUCCACCUUCUGUUUUUUGUUGUCCACAUUUGGAAACAAUCUUCGUCGUGCUAAACUUUUGGGUGUCAUCGCUGCUAAACUUCUGGGUGUCAUAGGUGAUGGCUCAAAAUCCUGUCAAGAAUCAUGAUAAAUAUCCAAUUUAAGAUUAGAUAUAUUCAAGUAAAUAAAAACAUAUUGUAUGUAUAGAGGAGGUCGUACAAAAUCAAGAGACAUAAUUUCAAUAAUAAGUAGAGGAGAUGUUUGUGCAUGUUACAAACAUGAAGAGUACGUACCAUUUCAAGUGUGAGGCUACCCAUUCUUGUGAAAUACAAAUUUAUAGUAAGUUUUUUUUUUUGGUUGCUUAGGCCUUAGAAUAAUGGAGAAGCUAGCAACUGGUGAGUACAUUUUGUUCAUAUGUUUGUGAUACUUAUAUAUAGGCCUUACAAGUUGAAGGUUUUGUGCACCAACCACCCUUUUAAUUUCCUCUCAGUUUCUUCAAUUGUGUCCCACUUGCUUUUUCUAACUUCCAUUAAGUAUAUAUUUAUAUAUUUUUCAAAUUAAAUGAACUUUUUCCCUGUGCGGUUUUGACCAAGCUAUUCUUAGAAAGACUAGUCAACUUACUAGAAAAUAUUAUUAUGAAUGAUGGGUUGGUGAAAGUAAAUCCAAAUAAAAUUAAACAUGCAAAGACUAUAAUCACAAAUUAAACGCGUACUUAUAAGCAAUUCAUUCUUUAUUAAUAUAAUAACCAUUCAUGUCUAACUACAACCAUUAAAAUGUUAUUUCUCCAUUUGCCUUGCAUAAUAAUGCUAUGAAUAAUGUUCAUUUAUGGAUAUACAUAACUAUGACUUUAAAAGUGAAAAAUCGGUUGAAUAACAGGUUAUAAGUUAUUCUCUAAAUUUAAAAUGCAACUUUAAAUUUGAUUCAAAAAAUUUUAUACUCAAACACUAAUUUUUAAAUGAAAUAAAAUAAAAUAAAAAAUAGUCCAAAAAGAUAAAAUAUUUUUUUAUGGUCAAAUGAGUCCUACUUAAUAUUUGGAUUUCACUAGGAUGCUACUUGGUGGAUUCUUUGUAUACAAGCAAAGUGGAAUUUAGCUACUUCACUCCACCAAAUGUCAAUAAUUAGGAACCAAAGACACGAGUCAACCUUUGAAUUGGUCUAUUUUAACUAUCUUCACACCAAUUAUAAUUUAUAGAUCUAAUGGGGCAUUAAUAACAUGUUUGAAUAAUGAAUAUUUUUUUAUUCCGAUUGCAAUUGAGCUUUCAGAAAUUGAUAUUUUUUUAAAUAUAUAAAUGUUAGACUCGAAAUUAAUUGUAUUUAAAAAUUUAAUUUUUUUUUUAUAAUAACUUUAUAUUUAGUCUGGCCAUGUUAGACACUUGAUGAUAAAUGUCAAUCCAAUAGUCGAUUUCAAGAUUCCUACUUUAGAAAUAUCUAAAAUUUAUUAGUCUAGUUAUUUCAAAAUUAACGUUAGACCUAUAUGGCCAAAGUUAAAAACAAAAAUCAAAGAUUGAAAAUAAAUUUUAGAUAUAUGAAUCUAAACUUAUGCUUAUUAAAGUCAACCUUCAGACAAUUUGAAAGCUUUUUGGUCUGAUAGUAGCGGAUGUAUUAGCAAAAUACACGAAGAAAAACGAAAUAUCCACGUAUAAUCAAUAACUGACCCAUGUUUCUGAGGCAUCUCCUUCUCUUAUAUCAUAUAAGAUUAGUUUCACUUUUGUAUGAAUAAACAUUAUAAUAAAAAUGAUUAUUAGCGGUAUUUAAUUUUUAAUUGUCGCUAAAUAUGUUUUUUUAUCGGUAAUUAUCACUCUUUGAAUAUGUUCCUAAAGCCUUUAGCGACAUUAGUUCUAAUGAGUAAAGAAUUUAUCACUUAUUACUAAAUAAAACUUAACUUCAAAAGAAAAUGUGUAUGGAUUUUGUAUCUUUUUGAAGUGUGAUGUGGUACUCAAUUUGCCACUAGACAUGGUGGAACCUAAUCCUACCUAUUAUUGGUGAACGUUUGCUAAUUCAUACAACUGAAAUUUUCAAACUUCAAUUUUUCUUUAGAAAUUACAAGGUCCAAGUAUGCUAGAACCAAAACUUAAAAAUUGUAUAAUUGUUUGUCCUAUAUCUUGAAUUCUGUCACCAUAUUUCUAUUUGUUGUGCGAAAUUUGAGAUAAUACGAGAAAAUAUAUAAAUGCGAAAAACAAGACAACAGAUUUACGUGGUUCACCAAUAAAUUGGCUACGUCCACGGGAAGAGAGGGAGCAGUUUUAUUAUGGAGAGGCAAAAACAGAAUUACAAAAUAGGGUUUGCCAUAGCGUCUAUAUAUAUAUAUAGUGCUAAGCUACGCCCUAACAGGCUUGGGCCCAACAUACAGAAUUGACAGAAAAUUAAGGGCCCAAUACAACAACAUUGUAUAUCCUUUCUGUUUGUAACGGGUCCGAUUCAAGACAUUCAACACUAUUAUGAUCAGUAUUUACUUUUAUCCAACUCUAUGAGUUAAGAGUAAAAAUUUGGUAAGUUUGUUGUUAAUUAAUAACAUAUAGUAUUAAAUAAAUAGUAUUAAAUAAUAUUAGUAUUUACUGUGUACUAAUCCAAGUCCUAUUAGGAUUAGUACUCCUUAAUCCUAGUUCUAUUAGGAUUAGUACUCCUUCCUAUAUCUCCUAUAUAUAUCUCCCAUGUAUUCCCUUAUUAGGUUAACACUUCAAUACAAUCAAUAUUCCUUCAUGGUAUCAAGAGCCAGAAAACCUAGAUCUUCUUUUCUCUAGUUUUUCUUUUCUCUCUUUAGGGCACCGAUCGUUCCCUCUCUUCUCUUGGGCGGCGGCAGCCAUGACAACCGAGGUGGAUCCUCUCGAUUCAUUUCCUUCUGGCAUUAAACUCCUUCUCAGGCAUCUUCAUGCCCUGAUUCCCAAAAAAUUAUCAGACAUAAAUUACCCUACAUGGAAAAUCACCGUUCUUACAGCCCUUGAGGCCAAUUACCUUCUCAAAUACGUCGAUGGAAGCACAGAACCGCCGCCGGCAGUCAUCACCGCCACGGACAAAUUAGAAAAAACCAAUCCGGGCCAUGCCGCCUGGAAAGUCGUGGAUGGCCAGACCCGAUCAUGUUUAAUUGCGGUCAUCUCUCCCACGGUUCAGAAACACGUCCGAUCCUACACAACUGCUUCAGCCCUGUGGACGGCUCUCGCAACACGCUAUGCAUCAAUUUCCCACUCUCAUAUUUUUCAAUUGCGUGAUCGUCUCCACACAAUUACCAAAGGCACGAAAACUAUGACGGAGUAUUUAGACGAGGUCUCCACCAUCAUCACAGCCCUCGACACCGUGAAUGAAAUCAUUUCCGAAAAAGAUCUCGUCAUGUGCGUCGUUCGGGGGCUCCCAUCAGCUUACUCCUCCAUUAAACAGGCGGUUCGCAUCAGUCCAACGCCCGUGACCUGGCUACUCUCUCCUCGUGGCUAAAAAGUGAAGAAAUCAACGUGGAUCUGGAGAGCAAACUUCUUCUCCGAGAAGCCGCUGUAAUGGAGCCGGCCACCGCCCUCACCGCAAGCCAGAACUAUCGCGGGGGCGUGGUGGCAGCCGGCAGGGGGGCCGCGGCGGCUACGGCAGAAACAGCGGAGGUAGCGGGCGUGGCGGUCGGCAGGGCAGUCGUCCGCCGUACGACGGUCAGCAGCACGACAGCAACAACAGCCUGCACUCCUUCGACAGCGGCGGACAGUCAUCUUCCAGCGGCGGGCAGGGCACUUACGAGCGGGAUCGUCUAACUUAUCAAAUCUGUCAGAAAACAGAACACACCGCUGUUCGUUGCUGGUUUCGGUAUAAGGAGAGCCGAAAUAGUGAUAACCGUGUCAAUUAUGCAUCUCAAGCCGGCCCUUCCUCUGAAUGACUGUUGGAUACUGGGGCCAACAUGCACGUUACUUCUGAUCUAUCCAAGCUUAACGCUCCAAAUCCAUAUCAUGGCUCCAAUGGUAUUACUGUUGGCAACGGUGAGUCCCUUAAUAUUUCUCACACUGGCACGGGUACCAUUAAAACCCCCACCGCUAUCUUUCACCUAGGUAACCUUACCCACGUCCCUUUUAUUAAAAUCAAUCUCCUUUCAGUUCACCAAUUCACAAAAGACAAUAAUUGCUCACUCUUGUUCACCUCUAAUGAUUUUCAGAUCCUAGACAAUACUACCAAGAGGGUGAUUUUUUAGGGCCCCUGUGAGCAUGGUCUGUAUGUUCUUCCUGGCACAAGUUCGUCUGCCCACCCAGUUUCAAAAAGCGUUCCUGUGGCUCCGCUGGCUCUUUCGGCCGAUGGCCACAGUCUGUUGUGGCACAGUCGUCUAGGUCACCCGUCUACUCAAAUAAUAAAUUCUUUAAUGUCUCAAUUAGGUUUUUCUUCCAUUCAUGUAAACAAUUGUGACUCCUGUUCAAUUGCCAAAACCUCAUAAAUUACCUUUUACUUUAUCUGAGAAGCGUACAACUGCACCUUUUCAACUUAUUCAUUCUGACCUAUGGGGUCCUACUGCUGUUUCUUCAUUUACUGGUUUUCGCUAUUAUAUUUGUUUUGUGGAUGAUUUUACAAAAUACACUUGGUUGUACCCACUAAAACACAAAUCACAGGCAUACACCACCUUUGUCACUUUUGAAAAAAUGGUCAAAACACAAUUCAAUUCUCAUGUUAAACUUUUUCGAAGUGACAAUGGAAAGGAAUAUGUAAAUAACAUCUUUGGCCAGUUUCUGCAAUCCCUGAGAAUUAUACAUCAAACCUCCUGUCCAUACACUCCCGAACAAAAUGGGGUGGCUAAGCGUAAGCAUCGCCAUCUCAUUGAAACGGUGGUUACUCUAGCCACCGCAAACUACCUCAUUAACAAAAUGCCCAGUCACACCCUCUCCAACAAAUCACCCUAUCAACUCCUUUACCAAGAACUUCCCAAUUAUACCAACCUCCGCGUCUUUGGGUGUCUUGCCUACCCUUGGCUACGCCCUCAUAUUACUCACAAAUUACAACCCCGAUCCCGUCCUUGUAUUUUUUUGGGCUAUCAUCCUACCUCCAAGGGUUAUCGCUGUCUUGACCCACAAACUCAUAAAGUCUACAUAUCUCGUCAUGUCAAAUUUGUCGAAAAUGAGUUUCCUUACGAGUCUAUUUCCUCCUCCACAAAUACAUCAUUCAUUGGCGUCCUUCCUCUUUUUCCAACAUACUCACAGGGUCCCUCAUCACCUUCCCCCACACCUCUAUCCACUACCCAACCACCCUUCAUCACCCCUUCGACCGUCACCCACAAUACACCCGCAACCACCACCCACACUCACAACCAACCCGAACCACCCCAUACCCACAACAUCUCCAGCCCGAUCCGUUUUGGGUCCUUCCCGGCCACCCCUGAAUCACCACCGCCCGUGCCACCCGCCAAUACCCAUCCCAUGUUAACCCGUGGCAAAGCCGGUAUCUUUAAACCCAAAACCUUUCAGGCUACCAUACUACCAAAUACACCCCUUCCCGAUAGUGAACCAACAACCUACUGUGUUGCCUCACAAAAUGCUUAUUGGCGUCAUGCUAUGGAUGACGAGUUUAAGGCUUUGACUGAUCAGAAAACUUGGGUUCUUGUACCCACUGAAGAAUAACCGGCUGAUAUUCUCACCAAGCCUCUCCCGAGCCGACAGCACGAUUACCUCAGUUCCAAGCUUUCGUUCGCUUCCGCUCAGCUCAGCUUGAGGGGGAUAAUGACAGAUAGUAUUAAAUAAAUAGUAUUAAAUAAUAUUAGUAUUUACUGUGUACUAAUCCUAGUCCUAUUAAAAUUAGUACUCCUUAAUCCUAGUUCUAUUAGGAUUAGUACUCCUUAAUCCUAGACAUAUUAGGAUUAGUACUCCUUCCUAUAUAUCCUAUAUAUAUCUCCCAUUAUUCCCUUAUUAGGUUAACACUUCAAUACAAUUAAUAUUCCUUCAUUAAUAUACCUUGUUUUUAUGUGAAACUUUAUACUUCUGCAAUAACAUCUAGUUUCCACAAUUUCCAACAAAUAAUAAUAAUAAUUUUUUGAAUAAUUAAUGAAUUCAACUUGUUAAUUUUAACUAACAAGACUAAGAAUUAGAAUGUCAAGGAAUUUUAUUCAAAGAAUAUCAUAAAAGAGUGUCAAAACUUUAUAAUUUAAAAAAUGUUUCAUGUAUAUAAUUCAAUUUCAAUGGUUCUAACAAAUGAAAGAAUUAAUAAGAGUUACAAAAUGGCAUCUCAAUGGAAAACAUACUAACGGCAACAAAGGUCGUCUCUCAUUUCUUUGCCUUCUAAGGAGUAAUGAAGUCAAUCUUAUGGUAAGAGCAUGCACAAUUUUGAGCACCAAUAUCCUCUCCAACACAAGGAGGAUUAGUCUUUCCAUUUUGAUACCAUACUUUUCUUUGUUGCACUAAUUCACUCAUGAAGUUGUCAAGCAUUUCUCGUGUGAUGCCUGGCAUUACAAUAACAUGUGCCAUAUCCUUGACGCAUGAGAGUUGCCAACGACGCACAAAUUCAUGGUCACGAGGCCUUUCAAGUACAACUAUGAUGCUUAGCUCAUUCAGCAUGACACUUAUCCCUGCUUGUUGAAGACGAUCUUUCAAAUAUUUGGCAUUGUCGAGACAUCUUUUAACAUCCUUUUGAAGUCCAACUUGACCUUUUGCGCUCAAGCUGUACCAUAAGAAAAUUAGAGUUAAACCGUUACGGCUACCAGAAAUCGUGGCAUCCACAGAAGCAAUGUAUUCCACAUUUGUUGAGAGAUUAUUGAUGUAGCUUUUUCUUGUUAUUUGGACACCACAAGGCAUUGGGCAUCCUAAGAACUUGUGACCAGAAAUUGUGACACUUCCAAUUGGCUUCUUGAAACUAAUCAUCUGUUCAAAUUUUUAAAAAGAAUAAUUAGAUUGUCGCUUUGAGAAUUACUAAAGAUAUUGUAAUUAGAAGUAAGAAGCAAUUGAAACUCACAUUGUUUAUAAAAGGGGUCAUAAGACCACAUAGUGCAGCAUCACAGUGGAUGUAAAAUCGAUCUUGUGAAUAGCCACAUUCUUUGAGUGUUUCAAGAAUAACGUCAACAUCAUCAAUAGCUCCUUUGAACGUAGUUCCUAUAAUUAAAAGAACCAUCAAUGGAAAAGACAUAAGAUGACUGAUUUGGUCACAUAAAAGAAAAAUGAAAAAUGAUAAGAGGUUGGAGUAUAGGUAUAUACCAAUUGUGACAUUUAUAAUAGCUGGUUUAUCCUUAUUUUGAAGUAACUUUGCUCUUAAAUCUGAAUAAUCCAUCUCUCCAUUUACUGAUGUGUUGAUUGUUUCUGAAUCCAUUCUAUACAUUCUUGCAGCUUUGAAU